rnacentral:rRNA from 1 species
UACGGAAGGUGCAAGCGUUAAUCGGAAUUACUGGGCGUAAAGCGCGCGUAGGCGGCUAGAUAAGUCGGGUGUGAAAGCCCUGGGCUCAACCUGGGAACUGCAUUCGAUACUGUCUGGCUAGAGUGUAAUAGAGGGAUGCGGAAUUCCGCAUGUAGCGGUGAAAUGCGUAGAGAUGCGGAGGAACACCAAUGGCGAAGGCAGCAUCCUGGAUUAACACUGACGCUGAGGUGCGAAAGCGUGGGGAGCAAACAGG